AAAAGACUUAGUCCUAACCUUACCGUUAAUUCUUGCUAAACAUAUACAUGCAAGUAUCCGCGUCCCAGUGUAAAUGCCCUUGAUCUCUUGCUAAGAUGAAAGGAGCGGGCAUCAGGCACACCCACUGUCGUAGCCCAAAACGCCUUGCAUUGCCACACCCCCACGGGUACUCAGCAGUAAUUAACAUUAAGCAAUAAGUGUAAACUUGACUUAGUUAUAGCAAUACUAGGGUUGGUAAAUCUUGUGCCAGCCACCGCGGUCACACAAGAGACCCAAAUUAACAGUAUACGGCGUAAAGAGUGGUAUCAUGUUAUCGUAACAACUAAGAUGAAAGUGCAACUGAGCUGUCAUAAGCCCAAGGUGCUCCUAAGGCCGCCCUCAAGACGAUCUUAGCACACACGACCAAUUAAACCCCACGAAAGCUAGGACACAAACUGGGAUUAGAUACCCCACUAUGCCUAGCCCUAAAUCUCGAUGCUUGGCCCACCAAAGCAUCCGCCUGAGAACUACGAGCACAAACGCUUAAAACUCUAAGGACUUGGCGGUGCCCCAAACCCACCUAGAGGAGCCUGUCCUAUAAUCGAUAACCCACGAUGCACCCAACCAUUCCUUGCCAAAACAGCCUACAUACCGCCGUCGCCAGCUCACCUCCCCUGAGAGCACAACAGUGAACAUAAUAGCCCUAACCCGCUAGCAAGACAGGUCAAGGUAUAGCUCACGGAAUGGAAGAGAUGGGCUACAUUUUCUAAAAUAGAAAACUUAACGAAAAGGAGUGUGAAACCACUCCUAGAAGGCGGAUUUAGCAGUAAAGCGGGAUAAUAAAGCCCCCUUUAAGUUGGCCCCUGGGGCACGUACAUACCGCCCGUCACCCUCCUCACAAGCUACCAAACACCCAUAACUAAUACACCCACCAGCUGAAGAUGAGGUAAGUCGUAACAAGGUAAGUGUACCGGAAGGUGCACUUAGCACACC
rnacentral:ncRNA from 1 species